GCAGACACAUUCCAGCCAAUCAGCAGCAGACCCUCCCUCCCAGACCCUCCCCCAGACCCUCCCACCUCCUGGACAGCAUCCAUUUUGAAGCUGCAUUCUUAGUGAGCUGUCCAGGAGAUGGGAGGGUCUGGGAGGGAGGGUCUGCUGCUGAUUGGCUGGAAUGUGUCUG